AUUUUGUUCUAUCUAAGAUUCCCUGAUUUCUUAUCUCUGACUCACUCUGGGUCCCAUGUUGUGUCUUUUUUUCUCCAAACCCGAACCCCACUAUGUCUCUGUGUCGCACUGACCUGACUCUGUGCCCCUGGUGGUUUCCUCCAUGUUACUUCUGUCUUGGUUCUAGAUAAGCCCCUUGGGGGGCCAGGAGGCCUGGCUGUGAUCCUGGGGAGCUUGGUGUCUCUUGCAGCUGCUGUGGCCCUCUUCCUAUUCUACCGACUCCAGCCCAAGAGUCAGCCAGACAUGGACAGCGACCUAUCAGACCCACCCACUUCCCACAAGGCUUCCCCACUUCCCGACCGGAACGAAGAAAUGAAGAACCACGUGUCAACAAAAGAUAUCCAGGUGUGUUUUCUGGAAGGAAGGUGAGAGGCGGGAGUGGUAGCCUCCGUCCUAAGGCUGAUGGGAUUGGAGAAGGCACCUUCGGGGAACCCGGUGAGGGUUAUGCUAGAGAUGUUCCUGGGAAAGUAGUCCCCUUCGCAGAAUGCUGGCUCAAGACAAUGAGUGGCCAGGGAUCACUGCUGCUCCAUGCAUCACUCCCACCUUCCCCCUCCAUAGGAAAAAUGCAGAUUGUAAAGGUCUCAGGAGCCAGGGAUGGGGGAUGGGGGAAGGAUGUCCACCAUCUCAUCCAUAUACGCUCAACCUCAUCCCAUUCCCCACUUUCCCUCCAAAUUCUCCACCUAGGUCAUGUAGAAUAAAAACAGCCAGAGAUGGGACAGAAACUCCCCCUGCAGAUGCCCUAUUAUAACCUGGCUGGUUCUGACACCUUGAUUUUCUCCUAAGAACUGGUAAGGAGAGGCAGGUCCUAAAGAAAGUCCUCAUCCACCUAACCAGAAUCUACAGGACUAUCCUCCUCCUUGAAGCUGGUCCCUGCCCAAUUUUCUAGAUCUCUCAAGGCAAGAAUGAAAAUAAUUGGGGGUUAGGGUCAGAGAAGACUCAAAGGAUAAGAAAGGGAAGGGUUGGGAGUGUCAUGAAGUAGGUUGGAGAAAAAAUAUGCCUGUCUCUUCCUGUAGGUAAAUAUAUGUUUUAUCAUAUUUCUCCAGUGCUUCUUAACCUUUUUUUUCUCCUGUCAACCUCUUUGGAGUUUGAUGAAGCUUGCAGGACCCUUCUCUGAAUAAUAAUGACCUGUUAUUUAUAUUCAUAAUUGAAAGAAGUGCUAAAUUUCAGUUAGAGGUUAGUGUAAAUAAAGAUGUCAUUUCCCCCCAUCCACAUUCAGUGACUCCCUGAAAUCUAUUCAAAGACCCAGGUUAAGGACCCUCGGUCUAGAGUGUUUGUGUUACUUGCAAGAUUUUGAAUGAGAGCACUUCCCUGAGGAUACCUUGCUAGUUGAGUAUCUUAGGUAGGUAACAUGAAUCUUAUUGUCAACAUCAGUUAAAAACACUGGGUCAAGUGCCAACCUUGCUACUGACCAGCUUUGUGACCUUAAACAAAGCAUUUCCUUCCUAGCCCUUAGAUUUAGAUUCUUUUUUAUAAAAUGAGAGUCAGGGACAGCCAGGUGGUACAAUGGAUAGAGCACCAGUACUGGAAUUAGGAGGACCUGAGUUUGAAUGUGACCUUAGACCCUUAACACUUACUAGUUUUUGGACUUAACCCUGAUUGCCUCACCCAAAAAGAGACAGAGACAGAGACACAGGCACUCAGAGACUGAGAGAAACAGAGAGACAAGAGACAGAAGAGAGAGACAGAGACAGAGCGAGAUAGUGAGAGACAGACAGAGACAGAGUGUGUGUUAGGC
ensembl:lncRNA